UAUGCAGCAGUAUAUUCUGUGAGCAAAACUGAGUACGCACUAGAUGUUUUCACUCUAGAUUUUAUGACCUGACAGUGAAUGUACAUUUACAGCUCUCUAGACUAUGGGGCCUCUAUAAGAUGACACCACCUGCACCCACUUGCCAUGUAUAGUUGCUUCCUAAUCUUUAACAAGACUGCUGUUUUUGCUGCAUGCUGGCUUCAGAACGGGUUUUAACCCCUGGUACCUCCAGUUAAAAUGAUUACUUUGAAAGUGAUGUGAAAGAACUGUGCCUGGAGAACUUGGAGCAGACAAUAUUCAUCUUGGUAGACCAAUGGUCUUUACUCAGUAUAAGGCAACUUCAUGAGAGCCAAUCUGGAGAACCGGGUUUGAUUCCUCACUCCUCCACUUGUAGCCAGCUGAGUGACCUUGGGUGACC